UGGGGAAUUUUGGACAAUGGGGGAAACCCUGAUCCAGCCAUCCCGCGUGUGCGAUGAAGGCCUUCGGGUUGUAAAGCACUUUUGGCAGGAAAGAAACGUCGCGGGUUAAUACCCCGCGAAACUGACGGUACCUGCAGAAUAAGCACCGGCUAACUACGUGCCAGCAGCCGCGGUAAUACGUAGGGUGCAAGCGUUAAUCGGAAUUACUGGGCGUAAAGCGUGCGCAGGCGGUUCGGAAAGAAAGAUGUGAAAUCCCAGAGCUUAACUUUGGAACUGCAUUUUUAACUACCGGGCUGGAGUGUGUCAGAGGGAGGUGGAAUUCCGCGUGUAGCAGUGAAAUGCGUAGAUAUGCGGAGGAACACCGAUGGCGAAGGCAGCCUCCUGGGAUAACACUGACGCUCAUGCACGAAAGCGUGGGGAGCAAACAGGAUUAGAUACCCUGGUAGUCCACGCCCUAAACGAUGUCAACUAGCUGUUGGGGCCUUCGGGCCUUGGUAGCGCAGCUAACGCGUGAAGUUGACCGCCUGGGGAGUACGGUCGCAAGAUU
rnacentral:rRNA from 1 species